rnacentral:tRNA from 1 species
GUUUUAAUAAUUUAAACAAAAAUAUUGGUCUUGUAAACCAAAAUUAAGAUACACUUUUAAAACU